GGCGGACCACCUGGUCGUCCGACCACACACACGAAGCAACCUCACCCUACCCUCUCCUCUUUCGUAAUUUGGUACCACCCACUCCCCCGGGUUUCACCCCCUUAAGACUGGUGCCAGAUACGAACAUCCGAACACAAAAAUUAAAUCUCUCCAACAACAAAGCAUGUCUGAUCAUGUUGGAAGUGGUGCUGAAGGAACUGCUGGACUAGGGUCUGUAGUAGGCACUAGAAAUCCAGUCCAGAAUCAGAAGGACCUUUGGUCGUUGCAACUGCAUCGAGAGUUUGUUGCUGCUGUUAAUAAGUUUGGCGCCAUGACAGUAUGUUCUUCAAUCUCUUAACAGAUAUUUUGUUCUACAACAGAAUUAGGGUUUUAGCGAUUUUCCAUGCAUACGCACUCCAAACUGAAUAUUUUCAGUUCUUAAUGCACUCACUAGUAAAUCAAUGCUAAAUUCCUACUAGUUCCGUACUUGAUUAAAUUUAUUUCGAUACAUACCAGAUAAGAUUCUAGAUUUUGAUAAAGAACGCUAAUCCGAAUCUUGAUGGAGAAGAAUUGAAAAGCCAUCUCCAGGUAAGGAUCCGUAGCAAAAACUGGACAAUAGGAUUGAAUCUUACUACUAGGAAUUCAAUUUGACAUUUGAUGAAGAAUGGAUCAAUAAGCUUACAAAUCAAUGAAUAUGCCAGUUUUUCGUUUCCUUAAUUAUUUAGUAAUCAAUACCAUAAUCUCUUAUUCUGUGUUAGAAUAAUCUUACUAAUUAAUUAGAAAAUUGUUAUUGGCAUUCUAAAAAUCUUGUUUUGCACUCUAAACUUUUUAUAAUUAGAAAUAAAAAUACACUUGAUAGGAGUGUAUAAUGAAAUUUUGAGAGUACUAAUAACAGUUUCCAUUAAUUAUUGCUAUUUAUCUUCUCAGAAAUAUUGUUUAUACCUUGAAAAAUCUAAAGAACCCCAACACCCUAAUAUGUCGGCAGGUGUAGCCUUCAGUUCACCUUCUAAUUUGCGAUCUCCAAAUUUUACAAGACAAGAUACGGCAAGACAUCUCCGGGUAAUGUACAAAAACCCAAUAAUCUUUAGAUUUUAAACAUAUUUUUCAGUUCAAGUAAUUAAUUAAUUAAGCUUACUAAUUAUUCUUAUUACUUUUUUCUUCAGAAUUCUCAAGAUUUAAGGUUUGCGAGUUCAUCUCCUUCUUUGCGAGUUGCUCCUCGGCCCUCCUCCUUUCCCAAAGACAAUCAACAACAGUCACAACUAAUUAAUGAUUUAAAUAUCUAGACUUUUGUUUCAGUAGCUAUCGUGAAACAAAGCGCC
rnacentral:lncRNA from 1 species